rnacentral:rRNA from 1 species
GACGAACGCUGGCGGCGUGCUUAACACAUGCAAGUCGAACGGAAAGGCCUUUUCGGAGGUACUCGAGUGGCGAACGGGUGAGUAACACGUGGGUGAUCUGCCCUGCACUCUGGGAUAAGCCUGGGAAACUGGGUCUAAUACCGGAUAGGACCGCACUUUAGUGUGUGUGGUGGAAAGUUUUUUCGGUGUAGGAUGAGACCGCGGCCUAUCAGCUUGUUGGUGGGGUAAUGGCCUACCAAGGCGGCGACGGGUAGCCGGACUGAGAGGUUGGGCGGCCACAUUGGGACUGGGAGACGGCCCAGACGCCUACGGGAGGCAGCAGUGGGGAAUAUUGCUCAAUGGGCGCGAGCCUGAUGCAGCGACGCCGCGUGGGGGAUGACGGCCUUCGGGUUGUAAACGCCUUUCGCCAGGGACGAAGCGUUUUGUGACGGUACCUGGAGAAGAAGCACCGGCUAACUACGUG